GACGAACGCUGGCGGCGUGCUUAACACAUGCAAGUCGAACGGUAAGGCCCUUCGGGGUACACGAGUGGCGAACGGGUGAGUAACACGUGGGUGAUCUGCCCUGCACUUCGGGAUAAGCCUGGGAAACUGGGUCUAAUACCGGAUAGGACUCCGGACUGCAUGGUCUGGGGUGGAAAGCUUUUGCGGUGUGGGAUGGGCCCGCGGCCUAUCAGCUGGUUGGUGGGGUGAUGGCCUAGCAAGGCUACGACGGGUAGCGGGCCUGAGAGGGUGACCGGUCACACUGGGACUGAGAUACGGGCCAGACUCCUACGGGAGGCAGCAGUGGGGAAUAUUGCACAAUGGGCGCAAGCCUGAUGCAGCGACGCCGUGUGAGGGAUGACGGCCUUCGGGUUGUAAACCUCUUUCAGCAUCGACGAAGCGAAAGUGACGGUAGGUGCAGAAGAAGGACCGGCCAACUACGUGCCAGCAGCCGCCGUAA
rnacentral:rRNA from 1 species